GAUGAACGCUGGCGGCGUGCCUAACACAUGCAAGUCGAGCGGCAGCGCGGGGUGCUUGCACCCUGUCGGCGAGCGGCGGACGGAUGAGUAACGCGUGGGAACGUGCCCCAUAGUGAGGAAUAACUGACCGAAAGGGUAGCUAAUAACGAAUAUUAUCUUCGGACCAAAGGAUUUAUCCGCUGUGGGAGCGGCUCGCGUCGGAUUAGGUAGUUGGUGAGGUAAUGGCUCACCAAGCUGACGAUCCGUAGCUGGUCUGAGAGGAUGACCAGCCAGACUGGAAAGGAGACACGGUCCAGACUCCUACGGGAGGCAGCAGAGACGAAUCUUCCACAAUCGGCGAAAGCCUGAUGGAGCAACGCCUCGUAAAGGACUUAUGCCUUCAAGUUGUAAACUGCUUUUAUAAGUGAGCAAUUUGACGGUAACUUAUGAAUAAGGAACGGCUAACUACGUG
rnacentral:rRNA from 1 species